GAGAGUUUGAUCCUGGCUCAGGACGAACGCUGGCGGCGUGCUUAACACAUGCAAGUCGAACGGAAAGGCCCUGCUUUUGUGGGGUGCUCGAGUGGCGAACGGGUGAGUAACACGUGAGUAACCUGCCCUUGACUUUGGGAUAACUUCAGGAAACUGGGGCUAAUACCGGAUAGGAGCUCCUGCUGCAUGGUGGGGGUUGGAAAGUUUCGGCGGUUGGGGAUGGACUCGCGGCUUAUCAGCUUGUUGGUGGGGUAGUGGCUUACCAAGGCUUUGACGGGUAGCCGGCCUGAGAGGGUGACCGGCCACAUUGGGACUGAGAUACGGCCCAGACUCCUACGGGAGGCAGCAGUGGGGAAUAUUGCACAAUGGGCGGAAGCCUGAUGCAGCAACGCCGCGUGCGGGAUGACGGCCUUCGGGUUGUAAACCGCUUUCGCCUGUGACGAAGCGUGAGUGACGGUAAUGGGUAAAGAAGCACCGGCUAACUACGUGCCAG
rnacentral:rRNA from 1 species